AUUGAACGCUGGCGGCAUGCCUAACACAUGCAAGUCGAGCGAGCGGCGGACGGGUGAGUAAUGUAUGGGGACUGCCCGAUCGCGGGGGAUAACUACUGGAAACGGUAGCUAAUACCGCAUACUAUCGGAUAACCCAUAUGGGAUUAGCUAGUAGGUGAGGUAAUGGCUCACCUGGGCGACGAUCCCUAGAUGGUCUGAGAGGAUGAUCAGCCACACGGGGACGUAGACACGGCCCAGACGCCGACGGAGGCAGCAGUGGGGAAUAUUGCACAGUGGGCGCAAGCCUGAUGCAGCCAUGCCGCGUGUAUGAAGAAGGCCCUAGGGUUGUAAAGUACUUUCAGUCGGGAGGCGUUACCGACAGAAGAAGCACCGGCUAACUCCGUGCCAGCCGCCGCGGUAAUUC
rnacentral:rRNA from 1 species